GUAAACCCAAGGUUUCCAGGGGAAGGUUCGUCCGCCCUGGGUUAGUCGGGACCUAAGCUGAGGCCGAAAGGCGUAGGUGAUGGACAACAGGUUGAUAUUCCUGUACUACCGAUAACCGUUUGAGAGAAGGGAUGACACAGUAGGAUAAGCUAAGCACACUGUUGGUUAUGUGUGCCCAAGCAUUGAGGCAGUCAAAGUAGGCAAAUCCGCUUUGAUAAUGCUGGGAUGUGAUGGGGAGCGAAAUUUAGUAGCGAAGUAGCUGAUUUCACACUGUCAAGAAAAGUCUCUAUCGAGGUUAAAGGUACCCGUACCGCAAACCGACACAGGUGGGUGAGGAGAGUAUCCUAAGGCCAGCGAGAGAACUGUUGUUAAGGAACUCGGCAAAAUGACCCCGUAACUUAGGGAUAAGGGGUGCCACCAUCAGGUGGCCGCAGAGAAUAGGCCCAAGCGACUGUUUACCAAAAACAUAGGUUUCUGCUAAGUCGCAAGACGAUGUAUAGGAGCUGACGCCUGCCCGGUGCUGGAAGGUUAAGGGGAUCUGUUAGAGCAAUCGAAGCAGUGAACUUAAGCCCCAGUAAACGGCGGCCGUAACUAUAACGGUCCUAAGGUAGCGAAAUUCCUUGUCGGGU
rnacentral:rRNA from 1 species